GCCGGGUGCAGUGCCACACGCCUGUAAUCCCAGUGGCUUGGGAGGCUGAGACAGGAGGAUCGAGAGUUCAAAGCCAGCCUCAGCAAUUUAGUGAGGCCCUCAGCAACUUGGCGAGACCCUGGACCCUGUCUCUA
rnacentral:sRNA from 1 species